UACGGGGGGUGCGAGCGUUGUCCGGAAUCACUGGGCGUAAAGGGCGCGUAGGUGGCCCCUUAAGUGUGUGGUGAAAGCCCGGGGCUCAACCCCGGGUCGGCCAUGCAAACUGGGGGGCUGGAGCACUGUAGAGGCAGGCGGAAUUCCUGGUGUAGCGGUGGAAUGCGCAGAUAUCAGGAGGAACACCGAUGGCGAAGGCAGGUCUCUGGGCCAUUACUGACACUGAGAAGCGAAAGCAUGGGGAGCGAACAGG
rnacentral:rRNA from 1 species